CCUACGGGAGGCAGCAGUGGGGAAUAUUGCACAAUGGGCGAAAGCCUGAUGCAGCCAUGCCGCGUGUGUGAAGAAGGCCCUAGGGUUGUAAAGCACUUUCAGUGGGGAGGAAAGGUUGAAGGUUAAUACCCUUUGGCUGUGACGUUACCCACAGAAGAAGCACCGGCUAACACCGUGCCAGCAGCCGCGGUAAU
rnacentral:rRNA from 1 species